UAUAUCACGAACAGUUGACCUUCUUUCUUAUGCUUUAGUCGGUAGCCAUAAAGUUCUGAUUCGGUUUCGAUUCCUUGUACUUCGGUUUCGCGAUUAUCGUAUUGGAAUUUCUUUCGUGGAAAUCUGCGUGGGGAUAUAUUCCGUCCAAAUGGACCGCAGCCAUCGAAAAGAGAUCGACAUGCAUUAAAAAAUAUAACAAGCAAGAUAUUUGCUAGAGUGAUAGAGGAUAAAAAAUGCAAAAUUGGAAUCAAUGGCAAUUACCAACUGGUGCCAUUACUACUUCAAUGCCACAACCACCGGUUGGUUAUACUGCACCAGGGGCAGAUCCAAUGGCUAUGAUGCAAGCUUAUAUGCAGUAUUAUAAUCAACCAGCACCCAGUGGAUAUACAGCUGAACAAUGGGCUGCUGCUCAACAACAAAAUUGGACACAAUGGCAACAGUGGCAACAACAAUAUCAACAAUGGCAGGCACAAUAUGGAGAAAAGUACCAAGAAACUAUGAAGCAGAUGUCGUCGCAAAAUAUGAAUUUAUCUGGCCAUGCACCACCUUUACCAACUAUGCCACCACUUCCUAAAGAGGAUUUUAAACCCCCUUUACCUCCGAAUACUGUUAAUACAUAUCAAUUCACAAAUAUCCCCCCUCCACAUCAAAACAAUCUUCCACUAUUUCCUGCUAAGCAACCUGUAAGUAGUGCAGCUUCACAAUUAAAUGUAAAUUCUUCUCAAAAUCCACCUCUACCUCCAACUCAACCACCAUUGCCUCUGGAGAGUGCUCAGAAUAAUGACAGUAAUUCUGCUACAAAACGCAGUAGUAAUGCUGUUAGUGAAUCCUGUAGUGCCAAAAAGUUAAAACUUGAAGAUGAAGAAUUAACUGAGGCUGAAAAAACAUUUGACGCUCAGUUUAAGCAGUGGGAAGAACAGUUUAACAAGUGGAAGCAACAAAAUGCAAAUCAUCCUGAUAAGACGCAUUAUAAAAUAUACGAAGCAAAAUGGACAUCUUGGCGGGAGAAACUUAUUGAACGUAGAGAACAAAUGCGUAAGAAGCGUGAACAACAAAAACAAACAACUGCUAAAGCAGAUCCUGAAAAAAAUAAGAAUCUACCUGGAGGGGACAAGAUAAUGAAUAUUUUAUCAAGUACAGAGAAUCAAGGAUUAAUUAACAAUCUCUUAGGUAUUGGGAAAACCCUUGGCUUAACAGGGAAACAAAAUACAGGAACACUUCCACCGCCGCCUCCUCCACCUCAGACAACAAGCAAUAUUUCAUCUACAACAGUUACACCUGCAAUAACUUCACAACAAUCAACAUCUCAGCCAUUGAAUUCGGACACAGUGUCAUCUUGGAAUGCCCAACAAGCUGCACAGUGGGCGGCUCAAUUUAAUUCUGGAAUGCAAAACUAUAAUAGUUUUCACGGUAACUCUGGAUCGACUCAACCAUCUUUUGGAACAUCUCUAAAUUCAACGCAUCCUCCAAAUUUCGCACUACCACCACCUAAUGUGCCAAAUGUUGGACCAAAUUUUUUACAACCACCACCAGGUUUUAAUAAUAACGACGGAAGACAAUUACCGGAUGCAAGCGUAAGACAAAAUUUACAGGACAGAUCGUCAUAUGGUUCAAGUGGAAAUAAUUUGAAUAUGUUUGGUGCUAAUGAAAGAGCAAAUUCCGAAAUAAAUCGUUUUGGAUCAAAUGAACCUUUAACUUUACCUGAUUACUCAGGUAAUUUUGAUACAACUGAUAAUACCAAUAACGAACGUAUGAAUAAUAGAAAAGGACAAUUAGGCACUGGUCCAGAAUAUUUUAGGCGAGAAAUAUUAGAUAAAAAUUUAUCCGAACAUGAUCAAUUCAGAUCAGAUGGCUCAUUUAAUUAUGGUAAUGCGAGAUUCGGUAGAGGAGAAGAAAAUUAUAAAUCGAUAGAUGGAACAGAAAUUGAUGGAAAACUUUAUAAACCAGAAGAUAGAAAUUAUAUGGAACGUGGUAAUAAUCAAUUUAAUGAUCAAAAUAGUUUUAAUUCAGUUAAUAGUUUAAACAAUGAUCAUUUUAAUAUUGAUCGUACUGGUCCUGGACCAGGUGAUCGUUUUGUAGGAAGUGGGGAUCGGUUUGGAGCUGGUAGUGAUCGUUUUGGAAAUUCAAAUGAUCGUUAUAAUGAUCGAUUUGGAUCAGGAGAUGAUCGAUUUAUUGAUCGAUUUGGAUCAAGAGAUCGAUUUGGAUCAAAUAAUGUUCGAUUUGGAUCUAGUAGUGAUAGAUUUGGAUCACUUGAUCGUUUUGGUUCAAGUAACGAUCGUUUCACUUCAAGAAAUGAAAGAUUUGGUCAAGGAAAUGGAUUAGAAUGCGAUAGAUUCGGACCAGGCUUUGAUCGUUUUGGUGUAUCUAGUGAUAAUGUUGGCCCUGGAAACAAUAGAUUUGGAAGAAAUAUUAUGGAUCACUAUGAAGGAAACGAAGGAAUAGAUAGCACGAGAGAUAGUAAUAAUUCUCGAAACUUUGACAGAAAUAAUCAAUUUGGACCUACCGAUGAAUUGGCACCAGAGUUAAAAAAACUUAUGGAAAAAAGAAGAGCUGCUAUGGAUGUAUUCAAGCCUAGCUUUCAUGAUACCGAUAAAAGUGUUAAUGUUGGAUCUUUACGUGAGAGUUUUAAAAAAAUUGCUGGUGAUUCACCUUUUAUAUCAAAAAGUUCCACUGAUUUUGGACAAAGGGAUUAUGUAGGAUCAAGAGGAAUGGCAGUUUCUAGUCCUCGAUUUCCAGGAAAUUUUGGACCACAAAAUAAUCCUAGAUCAUUCGGACCACGCGGCCCUAAUGAGUUUAAAUCACAUGGUAAUUUCGAAUUUCGAUUACGCGCUCAUACUAAUUUCAGUCCACGUGACAAUUUCUUUGAUUCUCAUGAUCCUGGUGGUCCAUUUCUCAGAGAAUCCAACACUAAUUUCUCUAAAUUUGAUAAAAAUCAUUCUAUGUUUGGUUCUGUGGAUGUCGAUCAACGAAUUGAACAACAAUUUGACAGAGGAGAUCCUAAAUUACAACAAACUAAAGAUACACAAAAUAGUGGAUCAUCGGACAAUAUUGUACCUGCAAAUACAGAUAAUAUACUUACAGAGAAAAGAUCAGAUAUUCCUGUUAAUAAAAAUGAAAUGGAUAAUGUAGUAAAAGCAGAAGAAGUAUCACAGGCAGAAAAAAUAGGAGAAGAAUCAUCAAAUAAUAUUGCGGAUGCACAAUCGAAUGCUCAAGAAGACAAAGCUACACGUUCGAAUGUACCGCCAUUAGAAAAACCACCUUGGAUGGAUGCAUCAUUUCCUGAUGUUAAUUUAUCUGAAAAAGAUAUUAAUAACACGGAAUGUAACAAUAAUCCACCUGCAAAUUUUGUUGUUGCCUCUACAGAAGAAAAUAAUGAAAAAGCUGAUGAUAGAAUACAAACAGAUUUGGAUAAAAAAUUGGAGUCGGAUGCUCCAGAUAAUGAGCAAGUCAAAAAAUCUGAAGUUUUACCAUUUAUGGGUGAAAAUGAUCCAAAACCGGAAGACUUAAAUAUGGAACCUCCACCAGAAUUACCUAAUUUAGGAACAAUAACGGACGAUUUGAAUAACGAUAAUAAUACAUUUGCUAAUAAUCAAAAAAUUAAAGAGCCUUUCGGUGCAGAUCGUAAUUUUUCUGGAGAAUUUGAACGUAAUGCAAAAUAUUUUGAUCCUAAAAAUACUUUUAGUCCUAGAGGACCUAAUGAUGGAAGAUUUAUACAACAACCUCAUACACCUAAUAAUGGACAAUUUUCUUCAUUAGGAUCAAACGAUAUACGAUUCAGAUCUCGAGCAUCCAGUGACGGACAGUUUGGUUUUCGUGGAUCUAAUAAUAGAAAUUAUGGGCCAUGGAGAACGAAUGAAAUGCCAUGUGAUAAUAGAGGAUUUACUGACACACAAUUUGCUCCUAGAGGACCUAUUGAUAGAUUGUCUGGUAUUACAAAUAUUAAUGAAAGAAAUUUCAAUAAUAGAAGAUCUAUGGAUGGGCCAUUCGAUAAUCAAUGUUCAAAUGAUGGACCUUUUACUUCUGGUUAUAAUGAUGGACAAUUUUCACAUCACAAUCAGCAAGAUAGAAUGCUUGGUUCUCGAAGUUUUGCAGAAAGACAUUUUGAUAUACGUAAUGCAGGAUCAAAUAGUAAACCUUUUGGAUCUCGUGGACCAUUUGAAGAUCCUUUUGAAUCUCAAGGUUUAAAUAAUGAAGCAGCAGGUACACGUAAUUAUAAUGACAGAUUAUGUAGCAAUAGAUCACCUUUUGCCAACAGAGCUUUUGGAUCGGAUGGAGCACUUGAUAGUGCUAAUAAUGAUAUUUUUAAAGACAAAUUUAAUGAAAAUUAUUUAGAUAGGAAACUUGAUAUAGGUAUUACUGAUACCGGAGGUAGCGUAGGUUCAAAAUUAAACUGUGAAUUGGGUAAAGUGAAUAAAUCUGACGGUAAAACAUCAUUCUUCCAAAGCAAUUUUAGCGACAACACUUCUAGAUUGCAAUAUGGAUCUGAUUGUACUGUUAAUCUUCCACCUCAUGAAUUCAAAAGUAAUAUUCAUAGUCAAGUAUCCCCCUUUGAUAAGAAAAUUACUGAAAAAUCUUGUAUAGAAUCAAAUGUUGGAGAUUCUAGAAUAGGGUAUGGAGAUAUUUCUGGAGGAUUAGAUUAUAAGUAUACUAAUUCUCCUUUCAUGAAACGAUCUAUUGAUAAUCAUCAAUCUUAUAUGAGAGGUGUACCCAAUAAAGAAUUCUGUAUAGAAAGACAGUUUAAUUAUAAUCAUGGUGGUGCCACAAAAGAUAAAAAAUAUAUCGAGCAUGUACCUGUAAAAGUAAUCGAUUAUGCUCAUGCCCCUCGUACCAUAAUGCAAGAACAUUUAACUCCUGUUCAAUGUUUCGAUUAUGGACAUGGAAAACUAAAGCCUGUUGUACCGGAUCAUGAAUUGAUACCGCAAAGAGACUUUAGAAAUUGGGAAGAAAGCGAGCAGAACUUGAAAGAAUAUGCAGAAAAAAUGAAAAAAUAUGAGAAUUCAAUGAUGAAACAUGAACACAGGCGAAAUACAAACAUAAAUGAGACGAGAGAAAGCGAUUGGAUAGUAAAUAUUAGAAAAUAUGAACGAGAAAAGAGAAAUACGGAUGACAUGCAAAAAGAUAGAGAAUGUUCUCAAGAAGAAAGAGUUUAUACUAAUACUUCUGAUAAAGAAAGAGAUGAAUGUAUCCAAAGUGAUAAUAAAAUAAAUGAUAAAGAUAGAGGUCAUGAGAGAUGCGAACGGGUUCAAACAGAUAUAAACAAAGAGAAUGACAGAGACAAUGACAGAUCAAAAGGACGUACUAACUGGCAAGAAAACUCAAACAAGAACACUGUAGAGACAAAAUCGUCAAAUACCAGCUUUACAGAUAAACAGCAAAAUGUAUCAGAAUUACCAUCUAAAACCUUGGAAUUGGCGAAAACGGCAAAUUGUACAAUGGUGGAUGAUCUACUGUGUCCUCCAGGUCGUCAAAAUAGACCAUCUAAAAUAGCAAUUAUUUUAAGAGGGCCACCUGGUAGUGGAAAAUCAUUCGUAGCAAAAUUAAUUAAGGACAAGGAAGUUGAACAAGGAGGCUCUGCUCCAAGAAUAUUGAGCCUUGAUGAUUAUUUCCUUGUUGAAAAGGAAAUAGAAACAAAAGAUGACAAUGGGAAGAAAGUGAUAGUGAAGGAAAUGGUUUAUGAAUAUGAAGAAGCAAUGGAACCAAGUUAUAUAGCGUCUCUUGUGAAAGCAUUCAAAAAAAAUAUUACAGAUGGCUUCUUCAAUUUUAUUAUAUUAGAUUGUAUCAAUGAAAAAAUAUCAGAUUACGAAGAUAUGUGGAGUUUUGCAAAAAGUAAAGGAUUUAAGGUAUAUGUAUGUGAAAUGGAAAUGGAUGUACAAAUCUGUUUAAAGAGAAAUAUUCAUAAUCGUUCUGAAGAUGAAAUUAAUAGAAUUGUGGAUUAUUUUGAACCUACACCAAGUUAUCAUCAAAAAUUAGAUGUAAAUUCGAUGUUACAAGAACAAGCAAUCGAAGAAGUACAAAUGGAAGAUAGUCAAGAAACAUCAGAUAAAGUAUUACAAUCAAAUGAAGAAAGUCAAGAUAGUCAGGAUGAUGCUCCAGAAAUUAUUGGUAUUAGUAAAUGGGAACGAAUGGAAGCGGAAGAUAAAUUAGAUCGCUUAGAUGGUUUAGCAAAAAAGAAAAAUGAAGGGAAACCACAAACAAUGGAAGAUUUUUUACAAGUCCCUGAUUAUUAUAAUAUGGAAGAUACUUCUGGAAAGAAGAGGGUGAGAUGGGCAGAUUUGGAGGAACGUAAACAACAAGAAAAGAUGCGAGCUGUAGGUUUUGUUGUUGGACAUACAAAUUGGGAUCGUAUGAUGGAUCCAACAAAAGGUGGAAGUGCUCUAACACGUACCAAGUAUAUAUGACGCUAAAUUAAUUUUAGAUUAUUAAAUAUAACGAUGAAAUUAAGGGGGAAAAAAAAAAAAAAAGAAAGAAAGAAAGAAAAAAACUUAUUUCUUUAAGAACAAAGUGGUGUAUUACUCAUAGGUUUUUUUCCUCCCGCGUUUUGUUCAUAUUUUUUAUGAAUUAAUAUUAUUAAUAUUUAAAGAAAAGAACGUUUUAGUGUUAAAUAUUAAUAAACCUGUUCAAAUAUUCAAAUACUCUAAAUCUUGCUUAUCAUUCUUUCAACAAUCACUGUCUAAAACUGUGAAUCUAUAUGAUUGUUAAACAAUAUACAAUGAUAUUGUUGACAAGCAAGAUAAUUAAUACAACCAAAUUAUUAUUAUCAUGUAUAUCUACAACAAUGCAUUUUAAUGAAAUAAUUAAAGGAUAGUAGAUUUAUUUA